GGGGCUGUCGGCUAGUUUGGUCCAGGCUCUUAGCCUCGGGCGUUAGGGACCCCGGUUCAAAUCCGGGCAGCCCCACCA
rnacentral:tRNA from 1 species